rnacentral:rRNA from 1 species
UGGGGAAUAUUGCACAAUGGGCGCAAGCCUGAUGCAGCCAUGCCGCGUGUAUGAAGAAGGCCUUCGGGUUGUAAAGUACUUUCAGCGGGGAGGAAGGGAGUAAAGUUAAUACCUUUGCUCAUUGACGUUACCCGCAGAAGAAGCACCGGCUAACUCCGUGCCAGCAGCCGCGGUAAUACGGAGGGUGCAAGCGUUAAUCGGAAUUACUGGGCGUAAAGCGCACGCAGGCGGUUUGUUAAGUCAGAUGUGAAAUCCCCGGGCUCAACCUGGGAACUGCAUCUGAUACUGGCAAGCUUGAGUCUCGUGGAGGGGGGUAGAAUUCCAGGUGUAGCGGUGAAAUGCGUAGAGAUCUGGAGGAAUACCGGUGGCGAAGGCGGCCCCCUGGACGAAGACUGACGCUCAGGUGCGAAAGCGUGGGGAGCAAACAGG